rnacentral:lncRNA from 1 species
GCCUGUCUCAGGACCCAUUCCUGGAAUGUUUCCCACAUGUAUUCUAGCUGUUGUGAGUUUCUUAGAUCUUUUGAGUCAUUAUUUGCCACAGACCUAGGAUUUAAUGAUGUUGUUGUGGUGUUCGUCUGAAUAACUGCAGACUGCAGAGUCUGUGUGAUUGUAGAGACUAGACUAGGAAGCUGGGUUGGGAGAAGACAGAUGACAGGGGGGAAUUAUAGAGUUGUGAGGCUUAAUUGUGUCUUCAUGAGAGAAUGAGAGUUGUUAUUGAUUUAUGGCCUGAUUGAUAGCAGUCCUGUGAAUCGGGUCCACAUGUGCACUGUCUCCCAGCCCCAGUCCAGUGUCCACAGGGGUGCUGAAGAAUCUACUCUGGGUUUCCACUGUCAUUGUGCAAAACUCUUCUUGAACUGAGAGAGAAUUAAACUUUGAGGCUUUCAGCAGAGCUGUUGUAAAGAGAGUGAAAGGGGAAUGGGGGCCGUGUGGCCAGCCACAUGGGCUGUUCUCACUCAGAUAAUGGAGGUCUUUCUGUGGCACUUAACCCCCUCGCCGCACGCUGGGAACGGGCAGCCGUGCGCCCACCGCGUCUCAACAGACACGCUCAGACACGCUCACCCGCUGCAUGAUUGAAUUUUACACCCAGGAAAGUCACCUCCAGCCACCUCCCUGCUACACGUGGCCCUGGCAGCAACUCUCCCAGGAUCACAGCACAUCUCACCCAGGCCAGCACAGAGAGGACGCAGGCCCAAUGCAACCUCCUCCUCUUCGCUUGUCGCUGUGGCCCCUCCCUUCAAAGGCAUAACCUCUCCUAAUCCCCCUCCCCCGGGUUUCCAUGGAGACGGCUCAGACAAGCAGGUGACGCAUUGACAGGGAGCAGAUGGUUGCCCGUGGAGGUAAGCAUGGAUGAACAAUGCCCCCAUAUUCAUCAUACAGCCCCUCUCUCUCAACUUCACUCUCUGCAUUCUCAACCACACACACACAUACACACACAUCAGCAUAAACUCUGUGACUCCCCUCCUCUUGAAAAGCUGUUUUUUACACAGAUGCAUGUACACACAGGCACACAAACAGU